rnacentral:lncRNA from 1 species
GAAAAUAUUGCAUUUUCAAAAGAGAGGCUGAAUUCCCUUUGAUGAUGACGGAAGGAGGACACUUGUAUGGGCCUAGGAAUCCAAAGGAGUCUCUUACUCUGUGAACCGAGGAACUGAGAAGAGUCGAUUCAGUUCAGAGCCUUCAAGAAUGAGUGCUGACCUCUCUCAGCUUCAUAUUUCAGUGGCUUUCAGUACCGGAUCUGCUAAUUCAUUUCUUCAGUUAUGCCUUCUGUAAUCAAGUUCCACCACCUAUGAAAUAGAAGGAGAAGGCAAAGAACUGGGGAGAGUUAUAUCCUGCCUUUGCCUUCUACAGAUGAUUCCGUGACUGCAUACAUACAUGAGACAAUCGCUCCAGGCCCUCGGAGGAUGAUGAAAUUAUUCUGCUGCUUUUCAGUGGCAGUGCUAAAAUAUAGCAGCUUGAUGCCAUCCUUUAUAAGACUCCCAUCUGACUAUUUGUCCAUCUCUGAUUUAGAGUGGUGAUUGGAAGAUGGAGGAGUGAGGAAUGGAGUGCUACACUUAAGACACACCAGGUGGAAUCCGACAGUGCCACUGCCACUCUGACAUCCCAAACUCACACAGGAGGUUCUCAGUUUCCCUAGCUGCUUGUUCAAGGGUGUUGUCCAGUCUCUGCAGACAUUCUGUAUAGAGUGACUAAUCCAACAGCUACCACUCACAUAAAUCCAUUAUCUUUGAAUUCAACACACCCAUCAUCACUUGUUGGGCAGACGACAGUUACCCUUCUGGAUCUUCCUCAUGGUGUCCUCUUCUCCAG